rnacentral:rRNA from 1 species
AGUGAACGCUGGCGGUAGGCCUAACACAUGCAAGUCGAACGGCAGCACAGUAAGAGCUUGCUCUUACGGGUGGCGAGUGGCGGACGGGUGAGGAAUACAUCGGAAUCUACUUUUUCGUGGGGGAUAACGUAGGGAAACUUACGCUACUACCGCAUACGACCUACGGGUGAAAGCAGGGGAUCUUCGCACCUUGCGCGAUUGAAUGAGCCGACGUCGGAUUAGCUAGUUGGCAGGGUAAAGGCCCACCAAGGCAACGAUCCGUAGCUGGUCUGAGAGGAUGAUCAGCCACACUGGAACUGAGACACGGUCCAGACUCCUACGGGAGGCAGCAGUGGGGAAUCUUGGACAAUGGGCGCAAGCCUGAUCCAGCCAUACCGCGUGGGUGAAGAAGGCCUUCGGGUUGUAAAGCCCUUUUGUUGGGAAAGAACAGCAGCAGGUUAAUCCCCCGCUGUUCUGACGGUACCCAAACAGUAAGCACCGGCUAACUUCGUG